rnacentral:rRNA from 1 species
AUGGCGCCGGGGCAUCGAGGUCAGGUCGCCUGCCUCCAGACACCUCUGAUGCGCGAGGUCGACAUCACCUCCCUCCAUUCGGCACAAACAUCGACGACGCCUGUGCGUCGAGGUCGAAGGCGCCGGUGUGUCGAGGUCGACGUCAUCUUCCUCCCCAGCAACAGAUCCAACGACGAACACCAAUCCUUGUCCAUUGUGAUGCGUGGCAACGGCAAGCGCAAGAGGAAGAGGUGCUGUCCAAGGGACCGCCAAAGCAUCGCGCUCCUCCUCUUCACGAUGCUUCACGCUGGCGGGCAUGGGAGGGCUCCUGACCACGGCUACCUCCCCGCUGACGGCGAGUGCGGUGCCUGCUCCCCACUAUGGUACAACGCGCUGCUUAGAUCCGCGUCGGUGGAAACCCGAUGCAGGUGCUAUUAG